rnacentral:rRNA from 1 species
AAGUAGGGUGCGAGCGUUAAUCGGAAUUACUGGGCGUAAAGCGUGCGAAGGCGGUUAUAUAAGUCAGAAGGGAAAUCCACGGGUCAAACCUGGGAAAAGAAUUUGAGAAUGUAUGACUAGAGUGGUGCAGAGGGGGGUGGAAUUCCACGUGUAGCAGUGAAAUGCGUAGAUAUGUGGAGGAACACCGAUGGCGAAGGCAGCCCCCUGGGCCAAUACUGACGCUCAUGCACGAAAGCGUGGGGAGCAAACAG